UUUUUUUUUUUUUUUUGGUCUUUUUAGGACUCCACCCGCAAUAUAUGGAAGUUCCCAAGGCUAGGGGCUGAAUCAGAACUGCAGCUGCUGGCCUAAACCACAGCCACAGCAAUGCCAGAUCUGAGCCGUGUCUGAAACCUAUAGCACAGCUCACGGACAAUACCAGAUCCUUAAUCCACUGAGUGAAGCCAGGGAUUGAACUCACAUCCUCAUGGAUACCAGUUGGGUUUAUUACUUCUGAGCCAUGAUGGGAAAUUCCUAACAAGUAAUCUUCAACAAUGGUUAGAUUACACAUAAGCAAAAGGAUAUCCCUCAGUAUUUAAAGAAUACUUAUUUUAUAUCACACAAAAAUCAAAUCCAAAUGGAUUAAGACUUAAACACAAAACAUGAAAUCAUAACACAGCUAGAAGAUAACAUAAAAAGAAAUGCUUCUUCCCAUUGGUCUUUCUCUGAGAAUGAUAUUUUGGAUCUGACACCAAAAGAAUAGGCAACAGAAGCAAAAAUAAACAAAUAGGACCACAUCAAACUAAAUAUUUCUACCGGGUAAAGGAAACAAUCAACAAAAAGAAAAGGCAUCUUACUGAAUAAGAGACAACAUUUGGAAACCACAGAUUUGAUAAGGGGUUAAUAUCAAAAAUACAUAGAGAACUCAUACAACUCAACAGUAAGAAAACAAACAAAUAAAAAUAUUCAAAAAUGGGGAAAAGACCUGAAUGGAUAUGUUUCCAAAGAAGACAUAUGAAUGGCCAAACAGUAUAGGAUAAGGUUCUUGUGAUAUAGUGAUUUUAUAAGAAGUCACAUAUAUAUUUAUUUGAUUUUGCUCCCUGCUUCUGGCCAAGAGCUCUUAAAAUCCUUGGAAUUUCCAAAAGGAUGAGAACUCCUAGGAAGUCCUUUUCUUCUAAUAUUUGGUAUCUGACCUCAGUUUCUGACCCAGGGCUGCUGAAACCUUCCUAAUUUUCCACGGGAUAGGAAUGUCUUGUUCUAAUGAGGCAACUCUGGUUGGGCUGUUGGAUGGCUCCUGGUAAUGACUGGUCAGCAGAAAGACCAAGCCAUGAUAAGGAACUUGGAAUCUUCAGUCCCAUUAUACAUUCUCUUCAGAAGGACAAAGGGCUGAAAAUGGAGUUAAUCAUCUGUCAUGCCUAUGUGAUGAAGCUUCCAUUAAAAAUCCUGGUAGAGGAGUUCCCGUCGUGGCGCAGUGGUUGACGAAUCCGACUAGGAACCAUGAGGUUGCGGGUUCGGUCCCUGCCCUUGCUCAGUGGGUUGGCGAUCCGGCGUUGCCGUGAGCUGUGGUGUAGGCUGCAGUCGAGGCUCGGAUCCUGCGUUGCUGUGGCUCUGGCGUAGGCUGGCAGCUACAGGUCCGAUUAGACCCCUAGCCUGGGAAUCUCCAUAUGCCAGCACUGGCCCAAGAAAUGGCAAAAACCAACAAAAAAAAAUCAUGGUAGAAGGCAGUAUAGAUAGCUUUCAAGUCAGGGAACACAUCCAUACACCAGUGGCAUGAUGCACCCCAGUUCUACAGGGAUAGAAGCUCCUGAGCUUAGGACCCUCACAGACCUCUCCCUAUGGGUCUCCUCAUCUGGCUGUUCAUCUGUAUCUUUUAGCAUGUCCUUUAAUAACCUGGUAAAAUUAAGUGUUUCCCUGAGUUCUAUGAGCCACACUAGUAAAUAAUCAAAUCCAAGGGUGGGGGGAGGUCCAUGGGAACCUCUGAUUUACAGCCUGAUCAUACAGAAGUUGCGGGUAACUUGGGGACCUACUACUAGUGAUUAGCAUCUGAAGUGGGGAGCACACUGGCGGGACUGAGUCAUUGGCCUGUGGGAUCUGACACUGUCUCCAGUCUCCAGGGGUAGAUAGAAUGAGAAGUGAGUUAAACUGUAGGACAACUAGCUGCUUCGAAGAGACUUUUUUGUGGGGAACACUCCCCACAUAUUUGGUGACCAGAAGUGUCAAAAGUGAAAUGUUCAGUUUAAGUACAAAGUAGACACACUAGAGGAACAAACUGUAGGUUUUCCCCUACAUAGGCCUCAGCACCACCAACCACCAGGGGAAUGCAAUUGAAAAAUCACAAUGAAAUACCACCUCACACCUAUAAGCAUGGUUAUUAUUAAAAAAAAAAAAACCUCUGAAUAUAAAGUUUUGGCAAGGACUUAGAUAAUUGGGAACCUUUAUAUCCUGUUGGGUAUGUAAACUACUAUAGCACAAUUAUGGAAAACAGCAUGAAGGUCAAUAAAAAAUAACACAUGAUUCAACAAUCCCACUUCUGAUUAUAUAUCCAAAGGAAAUGAAAUAACUUGCUCAGAGAAAUAUCUGCAUUCCCAUGUUCACCACAACAUUAAACACAAUAGCCAAGACCUGGAGACAACCUAAGUGCCUGUUGACAGAUGAAUGGAUAAAGAAAAUGUGAUGUAUAUGUAGACAAAAGAAUAUUAUUAAGCCUUUUAAAAGAAGGAUAUCCUAACACUUGCAGCCACAUGAAUGAACUCAGAAGAUAUUAUACUAAGUGAAAUAGGCAAGACAGAGAAAAACAAUAUUGCAUGACCUCACUUAUAGGUGAAGUCUAAACAAGUCUAACUUAGAAACAGAGAGUAGAAUGGUGGUUACCAGGGGCUAGAGGUUUGGGACAAAUGGAGAGAUGUUGAUCCAAGGGGACAAAGUUCAGUUAUGCAAGAGGUAUAAAUGCUGGAUCUAAUGUACAACAUAGUGACUACAGUUAAUAAUUAUGUGUUAUAUACAUCAAAUUCGCUGAGAGAGUAGAUCUCAAAUAUUCUCCCCAUACAAUGAAAAGAAAGAAUAAGUAUUCAUAGUAUAGUUGGUGGACAAAGGGCACAGCAGGGGGAGGCUUAAGCUGUCACCAAAAAUCAAAAACAGUGAGUCCAAAUGUUCAUUACAAGGAAAAACAUGGGUAAGAGAAUGGGCAUUCACCUUUGUUUAUCUUUACAUAAAGAAACACUUGCAGGAUGCUCAAGAAAUCCAAAGGUAUGUAUUUGAGAGUGGCUGGAGUAACAGCACUGGAGGAGACCAGGAUAUGUGGGCAGUGCAUCUUCUCAAGUUAGAUUUACCUAU
rnacentral:lncRNA from 1 species